rnacentral:rRNA from 1 species
GCGUCGAGCGGCGGACGGGUGAGUAAUACUUAGGAAUCUACCUAGUAGUGGGGGAUAGCACGGGGAAACUCGUAUUAAUACCGCAUACGACCUACGGGAGAAAGGGGGCAGUUUACUGCUCUCGCUAUUAGAUGAGCCUAAGUCGGAUUAGCUAGAUGGUGGGGUAAAGGCCUACCAUGGCGACGAUCUGUAGCUGGUCUGAGAGGAUGAUCAGCCACACCGGGACUGAGACACGGCCCGGACUCCUACGGGAGGCAGCAGUGGGGAAUAUUGGACAAUGGGGGAAACCCUGAUCCAGCCAUGCCGCGUGUGUGAAGAAGGCCUUUUGGUUGUAAAGCACUUUAAGCAGUGAAGAAGACUCUUCGGUUAAUACCCGGAGACGAUGACAUUAGCUGCAGAAUAAGCACCGGCUAACUCUGUGCCAGCAGCCGCGGUAAUACAGAGGGUGCAAGCGUUAAUCGGAAUUACUGGGCGUAAAGCGAGCGUAGGUGGCUUGAUAAGUCAGAUGUGAAAUCCCCGGGCUUAACCUGGGAACUGCAUCUGAAACUGUUAGGCUAGAGUAGGUGAGAGGGAAGUAGAAUUUCAGGUGUAGCGGUGAAAUGCGUAGAGAUCUGAAGGAAUACCGAUGGCGAAGGCAGCUUCCUGGCAUCAUACUGACACUGAGGCUCGAAAGCGUGGGUAGCAAACAGGAUUAGAUACCCUGGUAGUCCACGCCGUAAACGAUGUCUACUAGUCGUUGGGUCCCUUGAGACUUAGUGACGCAGCUAACGCAAUAAGUAGACCGCCUGGGGAGUACGGCCGCAAGGUUAAAACUCAAAUGAAUUGAGGGGCCCGCACAAGCGGUGGAGCAUGGUUUAAUUCGAUGCAACGCGAAAACCUUACCUGGUCUUGACUAUCUAGAAUCCUGCAGAUGCGGGAUGCCUUGGAAUUAAACGGCUGCAUGGCUGUCCAGCUCGCGAUGUUGGAGUCCCGCAACGAGCGC